rnacentral:rRNA from 1 species
AUUGAACGCUGGCGGCAGGCCUAACACAUGCAAGUCGAACGAGUGGCGGACGGGUGCGUAAUGUCUGGGAAACUGCCUGAUGGAGGGGGAUAACUACUGGAAACGGUAGCUAAUACCGCAUACCAUCGGAUGUGCCCAUAUGGGAUUAGCUAGUAGGUGGGGUAACGGCUCACCUAGGCGACGAUCCCUAGCUGGUCUGAGAGGAUGACCAGCCACACUGGAACUGAGACACGGUCCAGACUCCUACGGGAGGCAGCAGUGGGGAAUAUUGCACAAUGGGCGCAAGCCUGAUGCAGCCAUGCCGCGUGUAUGAAGAAGGCCGUCGGGUUGUAAAGUACUUUCAGCGAGGAGGCGUUACCCGCAGAAGAAGCACCGGCUAACUCCGUGCCAGCAGCCGCGGUAAUAC